UGGAAGUUCAAAGCUCCGUUAGUUCAGAGGC
rnacentral:piRNA from 1 species